UAUGUGCGCUAGUCGGUUCGCUCGAUGCCUGGGCUUGUGGGUCGAAUUGAGGUGCCGGAGUCCGCUACUGCCUAGCGCGCCUGGCGGGAGCCGCCGGCGUUGGCCACCCGCCGCCUGGGUGUGUGCCCCAGUGACCACAGGUGCCCCGGCGUCAGUUCUGGAAGAAACCUGAGAGCAGGGUGGCUUGGGUCGUGGGAGCCAUGGUGAAGACGAACAGUGUCCCUGACGGGUGGAAGACUGUGACGCCAUUGGACAUCCUCUACCUGGAACCCAAUUUAUUGCUUUUAAAGUUCCUUUAAAGGGAGUAGUUAAUCAGAGACUUAGUCCAACCCAGAAGUUUACACCAAAAGACUUAAUUAGUGCAAUAAAAGCACUAAAUGUGGAGCUUGGAUUAAUUACCGAUUUAACAUACACCACAAGAUAUUAUGAAGUUAAGG